GACGAACGCUGGCGGCGUGCUUAACACAUGCAAGUCGAGCGGUAAGGCCCUUUCGGGGGUACACGGGCGGCGAACGGGUGAGUAACACGUGGGUGACCUGCCCUCAGCUCUGGGAUAAGCCUGGGAAACCGGGUCUAAUACUGGAUAUGACUCCAUGACGCAUGUUGUGGGGUGGAAAGCCUUGUGCGGCUGAGGAUGGGCCCGCGGCCUAUCAGCUUGUUGGUGGGGUGAGGCCUACCAAGGCGACGACGGGUAGCCGGCCUGAGAGGGCGACCGGCCACACUGGGACUGAGACACGGCCCAGACUCCACGGGUAGGCAGCAGUGGGGAAUCUUGCGC
rnacentral:rRNA from 1 species